rnacentral:rRNA from 1 species
AUUGAACGCUGGCGGAAUGCUUUACACAUGCAAGUCGAGCGGCAGCGCGGGGCAACCUGGCGGCGAGCGGCGAACGGGUGAGUAAUGCAUCGGAACAUGUCCAUGUCGUGGGGGAUAGCCCGGCGAAAGCCGGAUUAAUACCGCAUACGCCCGAGAGGGGAAAGUGGGGGACCGCAAGGCCUCACGCGAUUGGGUUGGCCGAUGUCCGAUUAGCUUGUUGGUGAGGUAAAGGCUUACCAAGGCGAUGAUCGGUAGCUGGUCUGAGAGGAUGAUCAGCCACACUGGGACGGAGACACGGCCCAGACUCCUACGGGAGGCAGCAGUGGGGAAUUUUGGACAAUGGGGGCAACCCUGAUCCAGCCAUUCCGCGUGAGUGAAGAAGGCCUUCGGGUUGUAAAGCUCUUUUGUCCGGAGCGGAACGGUGGCGGUGAAUAUCCGCCACUACUGACGGUACCGGAAGAAUAAGCACCGGCUAACUACGUGCCAGCCGCCGCGGUAACAC